AGUAUUUAAACAAAUUUGAACACUCGGUACUUCUUUGUGCCAUGGUUGGACGACGACAUAGUCAUAGAAUGGAUAUCAGUCGCAUCUUUUACUUUUUACUGGAGUAGAUCAAAGUUUCUUUGUAUAAUAUUAUUUAUAUGGGAUUCUACAGUACUGACUUGGAUGGAAUACACAUCUAUCAAAGUGAAAACAAGAGACUACUGGCAUGUGUUGUAUAUUGUCAAAGGGAAAUUUGGAUUUGCAUAUUCGGAGCAAAAGAGGACCACAAUAGAACUGAAACUAAGGAGUAUAAAUAACUAAUCCAUAUGUUAUUUUCCAUCCUGUUAUAGGAUUCCUUAAAAUCAGACGAGGAAAUCCCAUUUCAUAGUUGAAGUAGUAGAAAUUUUCUUUACUCCGGAUCGGUUCGAAUCUUUAGAUCUAAAUACUCGGGUAAAUUCGGGUACACGAAAUUUCGGAUCCAGAUCCGAGACUAAAAUUAGACAGAUACUUGUCUCAGGAUCCCGUAAAAUCAGACGAGGAAAUCCCAUUUCAUAGUUGAAGGAGUAGAAGGGGACCAAUGACAUUUUCUCGACUCCGAAUCCGUUCAAAUCUUUAGAUCUAAAUACUCUGGUAAAUUCGGGUAAACGAAAUUUCGGAUCCAGAUCCUACAUAUUUCGACAAUAAAGAACUAUAUAAAAUAAUAUUCAAGCCUUAUUUCAUCCUUAAAGUCAUUUGAUGGAGUUUAAUCAAAAUUCAUUGAAAAUGUAUCCGUUUUAUAUAGUAAGAAUAUCAACUAUGAGUCCACAAGACGGUGUCUCCUUCACCUAUGAUGUUCCUGAAAAUGCUCUAUACCAAUGAUUACCUUAGAAAUUGCAGGAGCAGUUCACGUGUCCUUUUUUGAAUAGUCUUUGAGUCUGUUAUCUCAAGUCGUGAGUGUAAAUAUUUUCACUUCGUGUACGAGUUGAGAAUGAAGUUGCAAUUUAAUCAUACUUAAGUGAGACUCAAGUCGUGAGUACAAAUCCCUCGCUGUUCCAGCUCUGAUCAUUCAGUCAUUUAAUCAUCAUUAAUAUUAAAAUUCAAUCAGAUAAGAAAUUCAAUUGCAUUUAAAUAAUAAUAUUAAUCAUUUGAAAUAAAGGAUAUUUGUAGAACCAAACCUCA
rnacentral:lncRNA from 1 species